UGGGGAAUAUUGCACAAUGGGGGGAACCCUGAUGCAGCCAUGCCGCGUGAAUGAAGAAGGCCUUCGGGUUGUAAAGUUCUUUCGGUGACGAGAAAGGUUGAUAGGUUAAUAGCCUAUCAAAUUGACGUUAAUCACAGAAGAAGCACCGGCUAACUCCGUGCCAGCAGCCGCGGUAAUACGGGGGGUGCGAGCGUUAAUCGGAAUAACUGGGCGUAAAGGGCACGCAGGCGGUGACUUAAGUGAGAUGUGAAAGCCCCGAGCUUAACUUGGGAAUUGCAUUUCAUACUGGGUCGCUAGAGUACUUUAGGGAGGGGUAGAAUUCCACGUGUAGCGGUGAAAUGCGUAGAGAUGUGGAGGAAUACCGAAGGCGAAGGCAGCCCCUUGGGAAUGUACUGACGCUCAUGUGCGAAAGCGUGGGGAGCAAACAGGAUUAGAUACCCUGGUAGUCCACGCUGUAAACGAUGUCGAUUUGGGGAUUGGGCUUUGAGCUUGGUGCCCGUAGCUAACGUGAUAAAUCGACCGCCUGGGGAGUACGGCCGCAAGGUUA
rnacentral:rRNA from 1 species